CCUACGGGCGGCAGCAGUGGGGAAUAUUGGGCAAUGGGCGCAAGCCUGACCCAGCAACGCCGCGUGAAGGAAGAAGGCUUUCGGGUUGUAAACUUCUUUUCUCAGGGACGAAGCAAGUGACGGUACCUGAGGAAUAAGCCACGGCUAACUACGUGCCAGCAGCCGCGGUAAUACGUAGGUGGCAAGCGUUAUCCGGAUUUACAGGGUGUAAAGGGCGUGUAGGCGGGAAAGCAAGUCAGAUGUGAAAACCAUGGGCUCAACCUGUGGCCUGCAUUUGAAACUGUUUUUCUUGAGUACUGGAGAGGCAGACGGAAUUCCUAGUGUAGCGGUGAAAUGCGUAGAGAUUAGGAGGAACACCAGUGGCGAAGGCGGUCUGCUGGACAGCAACUGACGCUGAGGCGCGAAAGCGUGGGGAGCAAACAGGAUUAGAUACCCGUGUAGUC
rnacentral:rRNA from 1 species